rnacentral:snRNA from 1 species
GUGCUCAGGCUCACUUCAACAGUACAUAUAUUAAAAAUGGAACAACGCAAAGAAUAUUAACAUAGCUCCUGUGCAAGAAUGACAUACAAAUUUGUGAAGCAUUUU